rnacentral:rRNA from 1 species
CACGGGGGGGAGCAAGCGUUGUUCGGAAUCACUGGGUGUAAAGGGCGUGUAGGCGGUCAGGUAAGUGGGACGUGAAAUGCCUCGGCUCACCCGAGGAGCGGCGUCCCAUACUGCUUGGCUUGAGUACGGGAGAGGAUGUGGGAAUUCCUGGUGUAGCGGUGAAAUGCGUAGAUAUCAGGAGGAACACCGGUGGCGAAGGCGCACAUCUGGCCCGAUACUGACGCUGAGGCGCGAAAGCUAGGGGAGCAAACGGG